rnacentral:rRNA from 1 species
AUAUCAAUAAGGGGAGGAAAAGAAACCAACAGGGAUUGCCUUAGUAACGGCGAGUGAAGCGGCAAAAGCUCAAAUUUGAAAUCUGGCGUCUUUGACGUCCGAGUUGUAAUUUGUAGAGGUAGCUUUGGGUGUACAGCCAGGUCUAUGUUCCUUGGAACAGGACGUCAUGGAGGGUGAGAAUCCCGUAAAUGGCUUGGCCAGUGCCUGUGUAUAGCGCCUUCGACGAGUCGAGUUGUUUGGGAAUGCAGCUCUAAGCGGGUGGUAAAUUCCAUCUAAAGCUAAAUACUGGCGAGAGACCGAUAGCGCACAAGUAGAGUGAUCGAAAGGUGAAAAGCACUCCGGAAGGAGAGUUAAACAGCAC